GAUGAACGCUGGCGGCGUGCCUAAUACAUGCAAGUCGAGCGAACAGACGAGGAGCUUGCUCCUCUGACGUUAGCGGCGGACGGGUGAGUAACACGUGGAUAACCUACCUAUAAGACUGGGAUAACUUCGGGAAACCGGAGCUAAUACCGGAUAAUAUAUUGAACCGCAUGGUUCAAUAGUGAAAGACGGUUUUGCUGUCACUUAUAGAUGGAUCCGCGCCGCAUUAGCUAGUUGGUAAGGUAACGGCUUACCAAGGCAACGAUGCGUAGCCGACCUGAGAGGGUGAUAGGCCACACUGGAACUGAGACACGGUCAAGACUCCUGCGGGAGGCAGCAGUAGGGAAUCUUCCGCAAUGGGCGAAAGCCUGACGGAGCAACGCCGCGUGAGUGAUGAAGGUCUUCGGAUCGUAAAACUCUGUUAUUAGGGAAGAACAAAUGUGUAAGUAACUAUGCACGUCUUGACGGUACCUAAUCAGAAAGCCACGGCUAACUACGUG
rnacentral:rRNA from 1 species